AUGUAGUAGUUUGUUUUCAUACUGCUAUAAAGAAAUACCCAAGACUGCGUAAUUUAUAAAGAAAAAGAGAUUUAGUGGACUCACUGUUCCACAUAGCUAGAGACGCCUCACAACCCUGGCAGAAGGUAAAGGAGGAGCAAAGGCACGUCUUACAUGAUGGCAGGCAA